rnacentral:rRNA from 1 species
AAUCAACGCUGGCGGCGUGCCUCAGACAUGCAAGUCGAACGAUUAAGACUUCCUUCGGGAAGUGCAUAAAGUGGCGCACGGGUGAGUAACACGUAAGUAAUCUACCCUCGAGUGGGGAAUAACGUUCGGAAACGGACGCUAAUACCGCAUAAUGCAGCGGCAUCGCAAGAUGACAGUUGUUAAAGGAGUAAUUCGCUUGAGGAGGAGCUUGCGGCAGAUUAGCUAGUUGGUAAGGUAACGGCUUACCAAGGCUACGAUCUGUAUCCGGUCUAAGAGGACGGUCGGACACACUGACACUGAAUAACGGGUCAGACUCCUACGGGAGGCAGCAGUCGGGAAUUUUGGGCAAUGGGCGAAAGCCUGACCCAGCAACGCCGCGUGAAGGAUGAAGUAUUUCGGUAUGUAAACUUCGAAAGAAUGGGAAGAAUAAAUGACGGUACCAUUUAUAAGCUCCGGCUAACUACGUGCCAGCAGCCGCCGUAAAAC